rnacentral:rRNA from 1 species
GUACCUUCGGGUAUGAGUAAAGUGGCGGACGGGUGAGUAAUGCAUAGGAAUCUGCCCAGUAGUGGGGGACAACUCGGGGAAACUCGAGCUAAUACCGCAUAUUUCCUACGGGAGAAAGACUUCGGUCGCUAUUGGAUGAGCCUAUGUCAGAUUAGCUUGUUGGUAGGGUAAUGGCCUACCAAGGCGACGAUCUGUAGCUGGUCUGAGAGGAUGAUCAGCCACACUGGGACUGAGACACGGCCCAGACUCCUACGGGAGGCAGCAGUGGGGAAUAUUGGACAAUGGGCGAAAGCCUGAUCCAGCAAUGCAGCGUGUGUGAAGAAGGCCUGAGGGUUGUAAAGCACUUUCAGUAGGGAAGAUAAUGACGGUACCUACAGAAGAAGCACCGGCUAACUCCGUGCCAGCAGCCACGGUAAUACGGAGGGUGCAAGCGUUAAUCGGAAUUACUGGGCGUAAAGCGUACGUAGGAUGUGAUGCAAGUCGGAUGUGAAAUCCCCGGGCUUAACCUGGGAACUG